GAUGAACGCUGGCGGCGUGCCUAAUACAUGCAAGUCGAGCGAACGGACGAGAAGCUUGCUUCUCUGAUGUUAGCGGCGGACGGGUGAGUAACACGUGGAUAACCUACCUAUAAGACUGGGAUAACUUCGGGAAACCGGAGCUAAUACCGGAUAAUAUUUUGAACCGCAUGGUUCAAAAGUAAAAGACGGUCUUGCUGUCACUUAUAGAUGGAUCCGCGCUGCAUUAGCUAGUUGGUAAGGUAACGGCUUACCAAGGCAACGAUGCAUAGCCGACCUGAGAGGGUGAUCGGCCACACUGGAACUGAGACACGGUCCAGACUCCUACGGGAGGCAGCAGUAGGGAAGCUUCCGCAAUGGGCGAAAGCCUGACGGAGCAACGCCGCGUGAGUGAUGAAGGUCUUCGGAUCGUAAAACUCUGUUAUUAGGGAAGAACAUAUGUGUAAGUAACUGUGCACAUCUUGACGGUACCUAAUCAGAAAGCCACGGCUAACUACGU
rnacentral:rRNA from 1 species